GUGGGGAAUAUUGGGCAAUGGGCGAAAGCCUGACCCAGCAACGCCGCGUGAGGGAAGAAGGCCUUCGGGUUGUAAACCUCUGUCCUUGGUGACGAAAAAAAUGACGGUAGCCAAGGAGGAAGCCCCGGCUAACUACGUGCCAGCAGCCGCGGUAAUACGUAGGGGGCGAGCGUUGUCCGGAAUUACUGGGCGUAAAGGGUGCGUAGGUGGCCUUUUAAGUUGGAUGUGAAAUACCCGGGCUUAACUUGGGGGGUUCAUCUAAUACUGGAGGGCUAGAGUGCAGGAGAGGGAAGCGGAAUUCCUAGUGUAGCGGUGAAAUGCGUAGAUAUUAGGAGGAACACCAGUGGCGAAGGCGGCCACCUGGACCGAUAUUGACGCUGAGGUGCGAAAGCGUGGGGAGCAAACAGGAUUAGAUACCCCAGUAGUCC
rnacentral:rRNA from 1 species